UACGUAGGGGGCAAGCGUUGUCCGGAUUUAUUGGGCGUAAAGAGCGUGUAGGCGGCUUGGAAGGUCAGCUGUGAAAACUCGAGGCUCAACCUCGAGACGUCGGUUGAAACCACCUGGCUAGAGUCCGGGAGAGGAGAGUGGAAUUCCUGGUGUAGCGGUGAAAUGCGCAGAUAUCAGGAAGAACACCCGUGGCGAAAGCGGCUCUCUGGAACGGUACUGACGCUGAGACGCGAAAGCGUGGGGAGCGAACAGG
rnacentral:rRNA from 1 species